ACGUAGGGGGCAAGCGUUAUCCGGAAUUACUGGGCGUAAAGAGCGCGUAGGCGGUUUAUUAAGCGUGAUGUGAAAGUUAACAGCUUAACUAUUAUAGGCCAUUUGAAACUGGAAGACUUGAGUCUAGGAGAGGUAAGCGGAAUUCCUAGUGUAGCGGUGAAAUGCGUAGAUAUUAGGAGGAACACCGGUGGCGAAGGCGGCUUACUGGACUAGUACUGACGCUCAGGUGCGAAAGCGUGGGGAGCAAACAG
rnacentral:rRNA from 1 species